UUCCAGACUCCUACGGGAGGCAGCAGUGGGGAAUAUUGCACAAUGGGUGAAAGCCUGAUGCAGCAACGCCGCGUGAGUGAUGAAGGCCUUCGGGUCGUAAAACUCUGUCCUCAAGGAAGAUAAUGACGGUACUUGAGGAGGAAGCCCCGGCUAACUCCGUGCCAGCAGCCGCGGUAAUACGGAGGAUGCGAGCGUUAUCCGGAUUUAUUGGGUUUAAAGGGUGCGCAGGCGGUCUGUUAAGUCAGCGGUCAGCGCCGGGGCCCCCCCCCCGCCCCGCCGUUGAAACUGGCAGUCUCGAGUUGGAGAGAAGUAUGCGGAAUGCGCGGUGUAGCGGUGAAAUGCAUAGAUAUCGCGCAGAACUCCGAUUGCGAAGGCAGCAUGCCGGCUCCACACUGACGCUGAGGCACGAAAGCGUGGGUAUCGAACAGGAUUAGAUACCCUGGUAU
rnacentral:rRNA from 1 species